ACACAACAAAGGGUAACGUGAGUCUAAAAAUCCCAGAUAAAAUGGGCAGCUCCUCAGAAAAUUCCCAAGCUUUCUGCAUGAAAGAAGAAGUAAUAUUUAGGAAAAAAAUGCCUGUACAUUAAUCUUGUUAUCAAAUAGUUCAUUUUAUUUUGUUUUCUCUAGCCCCUUUGACAGCCACUACUGAUGAUUAUAAGUUACGUCACUUAAAAGGAUGAAAUUACUCACAUAUCCUCAGGCUCUGUGGGGAGGCACAGCUCUGAAUCGCUCCAAGCCAUAGGGGAGGGUGGAAGAAGAAUGGACAGCUGAAUCAGCUAUGAGAUCAGUGACUCAACGGCAAGAAAAUUAUGCUAGCAGGUUGCAUUGUGGAGCCAUUUCAAGAUAGCCAAGCAGAUUUUCUUCCAGCCAGAACUAAAUCAGAAGAUGCAGGCCUGCCUCCCUUCAAAUGCUAUCAGGUAUUUAACUUGGAGUAUAUCUUAAGAUAUUAAACUGAAUACCAAAGUCCCAAAACAUGAGAAGCGUGUCCAGGAGGCACUCAACACCAAGUUGGUCUACGACUCACUUCCCCUGAGCUGUAACAUUGGCUGAUGCAGACCUAGCCUAAGGUCCACAUUCACCAGAUGAAUGUUACUGCACAAACUCAUCUAUCACAAACUAGGAUGUCCCUCUAGGGCAGUAAAAAUUAACCUCACUUGACUAAUCUGCCUUUUGGAUGGUAAGAUAAAAUUCCACACUUGGAACUCCUUGUACAGGGAGAAGUGAAAGGUGUUCAGGAGGUGGUUGCAGGGAAGCUGGUGGUGGGGGGGAAAAACCCAAGCAGCUCAGCACACUAGCCAAGUAAAAGGCUUAAAGGCAGUUAAUGAGCAGUGAAGCAGGAUAGUGGGCAGAUCUGGAGGUGUCCUGAGGAUUAGGGUCAAGAUGAGAUGGAUUGGUGGAGCUUACCUCAGGUAUCUGUGGAAAAAGGGAUUAGCACUGCUUUCAUUUGGCAAAACCCCUUCCUUGGCUGCAGAGCGGAGGAAGAGGUUGACAUUUGCUGUUUACGUGGCACACACUCCUCUUACAAACAACCCUUGUGCCCUUUGGCAUAGGCAAAGCUGCUGGCUCUGCUAUUGUUGGCUACUGCCUGCCCAGCCAGAGCAGCAAGUUCGCCCUGUCUGUCUUGAAUGAUAGUACCCAAAGAACAAGGGGCUUCACUAGUGUGAAAGCUUGCAAGCUGCUUUGCCAGCUUCACUGAGGCAUGCUCUGAAAUGUGCUUGCUGCAACUCCUAUAUGCCUGCAGCUAUAUCCUUUACAGGCUAUAUUUCUAGCAUUUUUGACCUGACUAACUCUAAAUUCCACAAAUGACAACUGUCUUGAGAUACCUCUAUGCAGUCAAUCACUCCUAGCAGCUAGCCAACAUGAUAAAGGUUGAGAAAAAUGAACAUGAGAUCACCAAAGUGACAGAGGUGUUCCUGAGGUCUGGCACUUGUGUUGAGACACUCUUUUUAAUUUUUAUAUCUGCAUAUUUUUUGUAUUUAAAUUUUUAUUUUUGAAAUAAAUUUCUCUUCAGCCAUUCUCAGCAAAAGAUUGCAUUCUAAGAAUGCAGUUUAUGCUUAAAUAUUGCCCAGAUAUGUUGCUGCUCCUUGAGCGUCACUUACCCAGUAACACAUCCUGGCCAGCAAUCUAAAAAUGGAAUUCCAGGUACUGUUUUCAUUGGCACUUUUCUUCAGCUCUCUCUUUCUGCUCUGAUACAGCUUCUCAGUGUGCAGCAUCAAGUUACAACGUCCUUCUUCUACUGCCAUAUUGUAUUGCAGUUGUAUGAAUUUGCCAUCUACAUUUAUGCUUUUUCAUUAUUCCCUCAGAGGUUGGUAGUAAUUAUAUUCAUCAUUCUUUUCAAUAUUAAUUUUCCACAACAGAUUUCAUCAACUGUCUACAUGUAAAAUGGUUCUUUGGAUCUCAGCCUCAUGACUCCCUGCUUAUUCAUAGAAAAUAUUUUUUGUAAUCUCAGUAUACUCACUCAGGGUUUAGACAGAGAAACAACAGUUGAAGCAGUUCUGUUAAAAAAAAAAAAAGUGAAUUAACUUGUUUUGAUGUGAAGAGCCAAGAAGAUAGUCUGAAUGGCCAACAUCAGUAUCAUUUGGCUAUUUCCUCCACUUUGAGUCAUUGUGGCAUCAACUACUUUUUGUUUAUUGAUUAUGUGGAAAAUUAAGGCUUGCUUCCAGCAGCAGUAACUUCAGGAGAAUUGUUUCAGUGUAGCCAAAAGCAGAAUUUACACCCACUGUGCUAUGUUAGGUCAACACAUACUCUUUCUCUCAGUCUCUCUCUGUUUUUAAUAUCUCCUCUUGCUGUCUUCCUAUUGAAGAAUCAUAGCCAACUGCAAGACACAUACUUUCAUCCGAAAAAUCAAAGCUGGCUGCUCUCCAAGGUUCCUCAUUUUAACAUACCUGGAACAUCACUGUAAACAGGAACCACAUGUAUUUGUCAGUAGGGAACCCAAUAAUUUCACUCACCACAGGAAUCUUUGGAUGCAUACAUUAAUGGUAUAAGCAUGGACAAAAAUAAAGUUGUUCUGAAUGAGAUGCCUAGUGUUCACAAAAGCAGUAUGCAGUACCUUAACUAAAAUGGUCCUUUAUAGGAGACAAGAAAUGCUGGAGCUCUGAACACAUUAAAUAUGUAUUCUAAUCAAACUUUAAAAAAUAAAGAAAAUCAUUGUUAUCGCUGUCACAAAAUACCAUGGGACCGUGGAAUUUGUUUUCUCC